rnacentral:snoRNA from 1 species
ACGACCUUACUUGAACAGGAUCUGUUCUAUAGGCACGUACCUCUGUUUCCUUGAUUUCUCAAGAGACAGGCCCUUAACCCUGGUUGAUGAACCAUGACCGUGCGGCUAGAGCGUGAUUGACGGCCAUGAUCGUCUACGGACGCAUCUGGUGCUGUAGAGGAUCGUUACUCGGCUCAGUUCUACCUUGCCGGGGUGGUCGCACGGCGGUCUGACAGGUC